CGGUUGAUCCUGCCGGACCCGACUGCUAUUUGGGUGAGGAUAAGCCAUGCGAGUCGAAUGGGAAACCUAAAUUUCCCAUGGCAGACUGCUCAAUAACACAUGAUCAACUUACCCUAUAGAGAAAAAUAACCUCGGGAAACUGAGGAUAAUUUUUCAUAGUUGAAAAGGCUUGGAAAAGUUUUUCGACUAAAGGGAUAAGAAAAAUGGUUCUUAUCCGCUAUAGGAUAGGAUCGUGUUCGAUUAUGGUCGUUGGUGAGGUAAUGGCUCACCAAGCCGAUAAUCGAUAGGGGCCGUGAGAGCGGGAGCCCCGAGAUGGGUACUGAGACAACGACCCAGGCCUUACGAGGCGCAGCAGGCGCGGAACCUCCGCAAUACACGAAAGUGUGACGGGGUUACCCAAAGUGUUCAAUUUUGAACUGUGGUAGGUGAGUAAUGUCCCCUACUAGAAAGGAGAGGGCAAGGCUGGUGCCAGCCGCCGCGGUAAAACCAGCUCUUCAAGUGGUCGGGAUAAUUAUUGGGCUUAAAGUGUCCGUAGCCGGUUUAGUAAGUUCCUGGUAAAAUCGGGUAGCUUAACUAUCCGCAUGCUAGGAAUACUACUAUACUAGAGGGCGGGAGAGGUCUGAGGUACUACAGGGGUAGGGGUGAAAUCUUAUAAUCCUUGUAGGACCACCAGUGGCGAAGGCGUCAGACUGGAACGCGCCUGACGGUGAGGGACGAAAGCCAGGGGAGCGAACCGGAUUAGAUACCCGGGUAGUCCUGGCCGUAAACGAUGCAUACUAGGUGAUGGCACGGCCAUGAGCCGUGUCAGUGCCGUAGGGAAACCGUUAAGUGUGCCGCCUGGGAAGUACGGUCGCAAGGCUAAAACUUAAAGGAAUUGGCGGGGGAGCAC
rnacentral:rRNA from 1 species